rnacentral:rRNA from 1 species
UACAUGGGGUGCAAACGUUGCUCGGAAUUAUUGGGCGUAAAGCGCGCGUAGGCGGUUACUCAAGUCGGAUGUGAAAGCCCUCGGCUUAACUGAGGAAGUGCACCCGAAACUGAGUAGCUAGAGUACUAAAGAGGGUCGCGGAAUUCCCGGUGUAGAGGUGAAAUUCGUAGAUAUCGGGAGGAUCACCGGUGGCGAAGGCGGCGACCUGGGUAGAUACUGACGCUGAGGCGCGAAAGCGUGGGGAGCAAACAGG